UCGAGGAUCUUCGGCAAUGUGCGCAAGCACGACCGAGCGACGCCGCGUGUGCGACGAAGGCCUUCGGGUUGUAAAGCACUGUCGAGGGGGAGAAAAGCCCGCAAGGGUGUGAUCUAUCCCUGGAGGAAGCUCGGGCUAAGUUCGUGCCAGCAGCCGCGGUAAGACGAACCGAGCGAACGUUGUUCGGAAUCACUGGGCUUAAAGGGCGCGUAGGCGGGCUGCCAAGUCUGGGGUGAAAUCCGUCGGCUUAACCGGCGAAGUGCCUCGGAUACUGGCGGUCUGGAGGGAGGUAGGGGCGUGCGGAACUGUAGGUGGAGCGGUGAAAUGCGUUGAUAUCUACAGGAACUCCGGUGGCGAAGGCGGCACGCUGGACCUUUUCUGACGCUGAGGCGCGAAAGCCAGGGGAGCGAACGG
rnacentral:rRNA from 1 species